rnacentral:rRNA from 1 species
GACGAACGCUGGCGGCGUGCCUAAUACAUGCAAGUAGGACGCAGUUGCGAACGGGUGAGUAACGCGUAGGUAACUACCUAUUAGAGGGGGAUCACUAUUGGAAACGCUAGCUAAUACCGCAUACUAGCAGAUGGCCCUGCGUUGUAUUCGCUAGUAGGUAGGGUAAUGGCCUACCUAGUCAACGAUACAUAGCCGACCUUAGAGGGAGAUCGGCCACACUGGGACUGAGAACCGGCCCAGACACCUACGGGAGGCAGCAGUAGGGAAGCUUGUGCAAUGGGGGGAACACUGACCGAGCAACGCCGCGUGAGUGAAGAAGGUUUUCGGAUCGUAAAGCUCUGUUGUUAAGGAAGCGGUACUUAACCAGAAAGGGACGGCUAACUACGUGCCAGCAGCCGCGGUAAUAC